UAUGAGUUAGAGUCGUAGGGCAUGACUAGUUCCUCCAUUACCGCGAACACAGUUUUUUACGGGCGGUAACGGUUAUCGACGUUUUGCAAUAAUUACAUAAAACACUAUAAAUCGCUUCAAAUUGAUUCUAGUUAGCGUUUGCGGUUACAUACGGUUCCCGGAGGAUAAACUAGUUAAAGAUAAAAAUAUUCAAUUAAACUAAAAUUGAAAUACUAAAAAUACUAAAAAUAUAUAUUAUUUUAAAAAUUUAUAUUAUAUACUUUAAACGAAAAAUAUUUUCUAUAUUUUAAAAAAAAAAAAUAAUAAUAUAAUUUUAUAAAUAAAAUUUUAUGUUUAUUAUAAUAAUAUGCUUUUAAUAAUUUUGUAAUUAUUUAAAAUGUAAAUAUUGUUAAUUUAGCUACGACCAUGACUCCACUUUUUGCUCCAAUCACUACUGCAUUUGGUAAUUAACAAGUUAUAAUUAUCUCCAAACGCAGCAAUUUUUAACAGAUGUAUUUAUCGUACAAGUCGCUUAAUAACGUUUAAAACUGCAACCAUCCGCACCU
rnacentral:lncRNA from 1 species